rnacentral:lncRNA from 1 species
AGCCGCCGCCGCCGCCAAUCCCCUCCCGUCCUCCGCGAGACCGCAAACCGCUGAGAGCGAGAAGAGAUGGCCGGCAAGGGAGACGGGCCGGCGAUCGGCAUCGACCUCGGCACGACCUACUCGUGCGUCGGCGUGUGGCAGCACGACCGUGUCGAGAUCAUCGCCAACGACCAGGGGAACCGCACCACGCCCUCGUACGUCGCCUUCACCGACUCCGAGCGCCUCAUCGGAGAUGCGGCCAAGAACCAGGUCGCCAUGAACCCCAUCAACA